CCGACUGCCGUCGUUGGUCAUGCAGCUAAUCAUCAUGCUCGUCCUCGCGGUCGUCGUCAAGGCGGGCGGUCGUGUAUAUCAACGAUCACGACCACAACCAUGCUGGUAUUUGGACCGCCGUAACUGUCGCUGAUCGCCAUAAAUAAACCAUGUCCACUUUAUCUGGGAGAAUUUACGUGUUCUUCGAUCUACUACGAGUAAGUUUGGAGGCGGAGAAUUGAGGGAGACGGUAAAGCCGUGGACGGAGGCAGGGGCGCCAGCGGAGCUUGGGUCA